UUUACAACGAAGAGUUUGAUCCUGGCUCAGGAUGAACGCUAGCGGGAGGCUUAACACAUGCAAGUCGAGGGGCAGCACGGGUAGUAAUAUCUGGUGGCGACCGGCGCACGGGUGCGUAACGCGUAUGCAACUUACCUCUAACUGGGGCAUAGCUUCGAGAAAUCGGAAUUAAUACCCCAUAACAUUAUGAAGUGGCAUCACUUUAUAAUUAAAGCUCCGGCGGUUAGAGAUGGGCAUGCGUGACAUUAGCUAGUUGGUAAGGUAAUGGCUUACCAAGGCUACGAUGUCUAGGGGGUCUGAGAGGAUGAUCCCCCACACUGGUACUGAGACACGGACCAGACU
rnacentral:rRNA from 1 species